CUGGGAUGUCCGCCGAGCCGAGAUUAGCUAUUCAACAGUUUGGCUGUGUCCACCGCACUAAGUCAGCGCUCCCAAAUUCAAUUUUCUUUGUUCCAGUUUGGCCGGAGAAAAGCAGUAGGCAUUUAUUGUCGCAGAAAAGAUUGAGUAUUUCUGUAGAACUCGUUAUGAUAUUUGCAAGUCAUCGUCGCUCCUUGAAAACAGUUGAUACCACCGCAUAUUUUUACUCUGGAUAAGGCCGCAUUGCUCUCGAUUUCACAAUGAGAUCAAUUUUAGGCUAUAAAGAACCUUUGAUCCACCCGCGAGGUACCACACUGGAGAUUUUUUCGAAGAUGUGCAUAGAACAAUUGCAAAAAGUUACCGGUCCGAAGUAGUCCUUUGAAGCCUUCCACUUCCGUCCGUCAAAUUUAUUCGGCGGAUUGUGGGUGUCCCUGUAAUCACUCACUGCAAUUCGAAUGCCACCAUCGCGCUCAGAAUGGACUAAAUUUUACCUGGAGUUGGAGGAAGGUUUCCAAAGAGGGACAAUUGUUGUGCGCAAUUGGACCACCAAAAGGAGUCUCGAAAUCGAGGAGAAAGGGUUUGUAACAUCCAAAGGUAGUUACCAACGCCGAAAGGAACUUUUCGUCGGACGAGCGAGUCAACUGUUGACUUUGGCCCCUUUCCGGCACCAAAAUGUCUUCUUGGCCCUCUUCUUCCAUUUCUUCGGAAUUUUAUAUGGUCAUUAUUAGACCCCUGAACCCGGCAAUAGAGGCCAUGUUUGCUGGGAACCUGAUAUCUGAAGUUGAGGUUGUUAGUAAUGAAGUGAACUUGUCGCCCCCCAACUCACGCUUUUUGUUUACCCAAGCCGUGCUUUAGAAAAGGUGAAAAAAAUAUAGCAGUGUCGUAAUAACAUCCGUUGUUAACAAAAACCGUGCUAGCUAAAGCCUUAAAAAAUUCCCCUAGCUCUUUAGGGAUUUCGAUCCUAAUGGACAUUUGUUCGUUACGACCCCAUUGGUUCAAAAUCCAAUUGC
rnacentral:lncRNA from 1 species